CUUUCACACCGGUCACUGAGAAAAGGGGGCCGGACUCAGUCGACUCCGUCCAGCUUUCUCCCUACAAAACGUCCUCCGUGCACAAUGUCAACCGGGACAGAAGAAAGAAGGCCCCGGAAAGAAUAUUCACCAAGUCUUUCGAUUUCCCAAACUUUGACAGGGUGUCGUCGUCAUCCAGCUCACCCUCCGGCCCGGAGGAGCCGCGCGGGACAAGUGGCUCGCAUCCGCCGGAGACAAGAGUUACUUUCGCGACACGCGCCGACCUCUUCAUAUUUACGCCAGAGUUUGUCAAAUGGUUGUGUGCUGCUAUUUAGAAUCGUCCACGCGCGUGAAACAGAGCGAAGAUGGUCGGCCGCCUACAGCAGUCGCCGCGGGGGAAGAGCUCACGAUCUCGAGUGAGGAAGCUGCUCCGAGGAAAAAAAAACAGAUCUGCACAGAGAGUGGAAGUGACGCAGGCGGGAGGCGUCAGCUGGACGCUCGCUCUUUCUAGGAGAGCUGUGUGACGUGUUCGCUCUCGUCAGCUGUGUGUGCAUGUGUGUGUGUGCGCGUGUGUGUGUUUUGGCGCCGAGGGGGUUUGCAAAAUAAAUCUUCACACACUAACUGCAUCCGUUAGAAUAUCUUUGCAAAGAAUAUAUUUAGCAAAGGAUUCGUGUGUGUGUGUGUGUGUGUGUGUGUGUGUGUGUGUGUGUGUGUGUGUGUGUUGCAUCCUCUCCCAGGGCCGGUUGGCAGUCAGGCUACUGUAAACAUCCUUGACUGGAAGCUGGUUUUAGGUUCUGGGGCUUUCAGUCGGAUGUUUGCAGCAGCCAACUGCUAGUACCAUCGCUGCGCUUCGACCCCGCCGCCAACAGGUGCGCAGGGCGCUCAGAGGCCGCUACGAAGGCAGCGGAUUAACGGGACGCUGACGGGGGACAUUGAUUUAACGGGUAAUUUGAUCAAAGGAAAAUGUUUAAAUCCUGCUGAGUUUAGUUGUCAUGGUUUUGGUAUUUCACUCCCAAGUUAUGAUACUGUUGUUCUAACCCGAAUGAUAGUUGAGGAAACCCCUGACACUCAAUUGAAGGACUUAAAAUAUGAGUAACUUUCCAUGGUUCAUGUGUGGUGCAUUUGAAUCACAUGCAAAUUCAAACCUAAUAGUGUUUGUUUAUUUUAAUUCAAUCACAGUCCCAAUAAAACCUCUUGAACCACCUAGUGUGAACGUGGAAAAGGGCACAAAUUUGUGAAAAACCCAAUUCAAUCAUUAAAGAAAGAAUGCUGUUCCGCCAUGGGAAGCGGCGGCGGGAGAUAGUUGACUCCACUCAGUUCCCUGUGGACGGGAGCGGCUUCAUCCUCAGCAUUGGGGGAUGGAAGGAAGUGUAGAAGGGAAAGCGGAGCUAGAUGGACAGAUGACCAGCAUGAGGGGUUGUUGAGGCAACGGUGAAAUGGCGGGAGAUGGAGGUGGAGGAAGUGGGUGUAACAUACACUACAAGACCAGAGACUGGGAAGGAAGGAAGCGUUCUAAUAUUACUAAAGUCCUCCACCCCUGCAUUCAUCAAGCCAUGAAUGAAAACAUGCUGUGCUUUUUUGCAGUUUCUGUCCAAACAGUCCCAGUCGUUCCCGCCUCUGUCGCGGAGAACCCCCCUAGGGAGUCUCUCGCAAUCUCUCAAAUGCUCCUCAACGUGAAACAGGAAGUCAGGAAGUAUAUCUGCUGGAGCUUCAGCAUUUGGAUGUAACUAAAUCCCUUAUAAUUUUAAAGAAAAUAAGGAGAUUUCCUGUCAAAUGUUUUGCUGUAGUUGGAGAAUAUAAAUGUUGGUGACGAGGUGUGUUCAAUAUUUGUUGUUUUCAUUGAUGGUCACAGACCAGAAAAUGUUGCACUACAGCCACACUUGGAUGCACUUUUUCUUCAAUUUAGUUGAACUGCGCUGUGGUUGCUAUUUCAGAGGGCUGUAGCAACAUGCAUUCUCCCUACUGACCACUAGGGGCAACAUCUCCUGUUGCAAAAAAUGUGUCCGAUUGGAUAGACAGCAUCCACUGGUGCACAAUCUCCCUUUUGAAAAUGUAUUAUUGAAGUUUGACGUUGGUAUCAACUUUGAUCUCUGAGCUCCAGGAAGUGUAAACAUCCUACACUCUCGGUGUGGCGCCCCUGGUGGCCGGGAGUGGGAAUGUUUAUACUGCCUGGCUCAGGAAGUCUACUAGCAGCCGGGGAGGGACCUUUUAUGUUCAUGUUGUCUGUCUAGUCACCAUCAUCAGUGCGAAAAAACACAGGCUGGACCCACGUGAUGUGAUUGAGGUUGUUCUAAUGCUUCAGAUACAUCUAGCAAAAUGAUUUUUUUUAAUGCACCCGAGCUGCUGAAAGUUGCUUUUACAACCUCUGUGUUAAAUGCGGCUCCCUUAGUGUUGACGCAUUAAAACCACAUUUUCGGCGCGGUUAUAGGAACCACCCACAGAUUCACAGUGCGAUACCGCAGGCCCACAUUUCCUCUGGGUCACAUCUUUUUUUUUUUUCAUUCUAAAAAGGAAUUUGACCGUGUCCAAUUUAACUUGAUGCAAGUGUCCGGUGUGAAUAAAGAGCUAUUAAAGCUGAAGGAGUUGUGCGGUGCUUCUGACAUCCGUGGUUCGACUUGGGGAAUGCUCUCCAUUCGGGACAGGAAACGGGGAGCGGCACAUCUCCGAUUGGCCAGUUCCCUUGACCCAGCGACCUGAGUCGUGGCCGUCCCACUGGGGCAGGGACACACAAACACACACACACACACACACACACACAAACGGACCCUUCAAAGCAAAUGACGCAGUCCGGGGAGACGACAGACUGGGAAAAGUAGCAAUAAGUCUGGGUACUCUUUUUUUCUUUUUUAAGCGACUAUUCUGUAAUUGUGUUCAAAAACUUACAAGAUCACAUUAAAAGGUAUUUAUUUUGAAAGGUAAAAACCAACAAUGACGUGAAAACCAUAAUACUGGUCUUCCUAUAGGUCUGUGUGUGUGUGUGUUUUUUGGCGUGGUGAUGAGGGGGGGGAUGUAAAGAGGAAGCAGAAACAGUGGGUGUUGCCUGUCUGCUAUUGGUGUAUUUUUAAUGUGUAAUACAGACAUGGGGAGGGAGGAUGUGUCUGUUGGUCCAGCCUAGAUCUCACUCUACCUAUUGUUUAGUGUACGUGAUUUUUAUUCGGUCUGACAUUGAAAAGAUGUAAUUCCUGCUUGUUAACACCAGAUGUCGUACCAGCCGUGCAGCACACGGAUCCCCAUCAAGUAAGUGAACAGUCUCGCUGAUGUCCACUGGAGACAUAAUAAAGAGUUACAAAUAAAAGCCACUUAUAUGAUUGUCCAAUAGGAAAUAAUCAAUAAGGUGUAAUUUUGACUCAACUAAUUGUUUUCCCAAAACCAACUGUAUUAUUAUUGGGGUUUCUGUUGACAGAAGGAGCCACAAGUUUCAUGAAUUAAAAGUGUUUUUCCACAUUAUUGUCUGUAUUUAAAUCAUUUUGCCGUUUGGGCGCACUCUAUUACAGUUUGACACACCAGUAAAAUAAACAGUUGAACAUAAGUGUUUUAUGAAUUAUUAUUUGCAGUUGCCUUUUCAUGAUACAUAUUAUAUGGCCGGGUUUGGUACGUGUUCUUUUAAGUACUUAAAAUAUAAACAUUUUGCAGUGAAAAUAUCAGGUGCCUACCGUCACCACAGGGUGGAGCCAUAGUGUCACAGUUACACCGUCUACACACUGCUACGUCACUGCAGCACCAGUUCAAUUUAUAACCCAUAUGAUGUUAUGAUCUUUGGCUGACCUCAACGUUUAAUAAAGCUGAGUUAUGACUAACCGAAAGAACCAGGCUGGUUAUUUCAAAUCAUACAUCUGUGUCUGGACAGUGUGUAAACCGCAUUAUGAAUAGGCAUGUUUUUAAUCAAACUCUAAUGCUACAGUCUCUCUUGCUCCAAACAGAAACCCUGGAAUCAUAAACUGGGCCAGUGAUUAGUGAUUAAAAAUAACAGGAAGUUCCUGUUUGGUUGUAGAGCAGAUAAGCAGAAGUUUGCUUCCUCAAUCGGCCCCAGUUUCAUCCACGAGGCGAAAAACACCCCCCGAAACCAAGUCUGACCACAGUUUCAACAAGUCUGGUCUGUGUGUAUUUGAAAGAUUACACAAAAAAACGUGUAAUGGAAAGCCUUGACAAGGUCCGUCUUUUUCAGUUGCGUCUUUUUUUUCAAUCGGUAAUGCAAUAAAAUCAUCACAUAAAAAACCUUGCUCUCUGAUGUGAUGA
ensembl:lncRNA